rnacentral:rRNA from 17 species
GGGCGUAAAGCGCGCGUAGGCGGUUUUUUAAGUCUGAUGUGAAAGCCCACGGCUCAACCGUGGAGGGUCAUUGGAAACUGGAAAACUUGAGUGCAGAAGAGGAAAGUGGAAUUCCAUGUGUAGCGGUGAAAUGCGCAGAGAUAUGGAGGAACACCAGUGGCGAAGGCGACCACCUGGACUGAUACUGACACUGAGGUGCGAAAGCG